ACCAGUAUUCUAUUACUCUGCCCGAAAUCUCAUCAGCCGCCGUCGCAUUUGAACCGGCAAUUGUUUUUUUUUCUCGUUUGUUGUCAUUUUCGUUUUUAAUGGCGACCUGCUGUCAUUUAAAAUGAAUAAAUAUAUUACUUUUAGAAAAGGGCCGACUGCUCGUAAAGAGAACGAUGGAAUUUAUAGAUUCGGCUGGGAAACUUGUCGAGAAAUCUUUUUUUGCUUUUUUAGAUAAACUGACACGAGAGUUUGGUACCUUCUCAAACAGGCAUAAUUUCAAUCUAAUUAAUUGUAUCUGAGAUUUUUUUACCAGAUUUGUUUACUAACAGGGUUUGUACAACUUCAAUCUGGAUAAAAGUAGAUUGAAUUCUAAUAGAUUGAACUCCUUCUAUAUUUACUGCAGGAGCCCUCACUUUUGCCAUAGCAAAACUGUUGGCAACUGGUCUUGUAAAUCUGAACAGGGUAGAAGUUCUUUGGCGUCCUGUAACAAAUCACCUGCUGGAAGUCAUCAUCCAUCCACUUAACCGCUUGAGAGAAUGGGGAAUAGAUGUCAUUACUACGUUAGUUAGAUCAGUAAUUCAAUAUGAUUAUUCUACCCCUUUAAAAGAAAACCAGAUAACUAUCCGAAACAGUUGGGCUAUUUGUGUUUAGGCAGUUGAAGAAUAGCAAACUCUAUCCCUUAUUAAUUUGACAGAGAUUGCAGAUGUUGUUAAUAUCACCAUUAAAUGAGCUGUCUAGUACCAGUUUUGCAGACGUGCAGUAAAAGCAAGUUUAUUGUGUGCUCCAUUUGCUGCACAGCUCUGGUGACAUAAUCUCUUUUGGAUGGCCCUUGUUUCUUAAUAUCAUAGGAGCUAUCAACAAUUCUCAAGG